rnacentral:rRNA from 1 species
CUACGGGUCGCAGCAGUGGGGGAUAUUGCACAAUGGGGGAAACCCUGAUGCAGCAACGCCGCGUGAAGGAAGACGGAUUUCGGUCUGUAAACUCCUAUCAGCUGGGAAGAAAAUGACGGUACCAGACUAAGAAGCCCCGGCUAACUACGUGCCAGCAGCCGCGGUAAUACGUAGGGGGCAAGCGUUAUCCGGAUUUACUGGGUGUAAAGGGUACGUAGGCGGUUAUUUAAGUCAGAUGUGAAAGCCCGGAGCUCAACUCCGGGACUGCAUUUGAAACUGGGUAACUAGAGUACAGGAGAGGAAAGCGGAAUUCCUAGUGUAGCGGUGAAAUGCGUAGAUAUUAGGAAGAACACCAGUGGCGAAGGCGGCUUUCUGGACUGUAACUGACGCUGAGGUACGAAAGCGUGGGGAGCGAACAGGAUUAGAUACCCGCGUAGUC